rnacentral:misc_RNA from 1 species
UUUCCGUAGGUGAACCUGCGGAAGGAUCAUUAUUGUAUAACCUAUGUUAGAGGGCUGUCUCUGACCCGACACCUCUUGCACGCCCUAUUGCCCUCACACACAUCCAUCCCACCCCUAUGUACACCACCGCGUGGGUCCCGAUUAGUCAUUUUCGUGUUUGAGUUUACUUUUUCACACAACCUUUAUAUUCAUUCUAGAAUUUAUUUUUUGUUUUUACAUUCACUCAAACAAAACAACUAUCAACAACGGAUACCUUGGCACUUGAUUCGAGGAAGAACG